UAACAGGCACGAGUAACUUUUGGCUCAGCAGAUAGCUCUCGUGUGCUGCAGACGAGAGCUAUCUGCUGAGCAAAAAGUUACUCGUGCCUGUU